rnacentral:misc_RNA from 1 species
GUGAAUCAUCGAAUCUUUGAACGCAACUUGCACUCUCUUCGGAGAGUAUGCCUGUUUGAGGGUCAGCCUAAAAAAAUUCGACAUAUUUGUUGUUUCCCGGUGACAUUCGUCGGAAAUGGGGUUUCCUUAAACCUUUGGGUUUUAACCGGCUUAAAAUUUCCUUUACGAUUCCUGGAACUUUUCUAAGAUUUUACUUCUUACUCACGUUUAAGGUUUCG